AUGCUCAGUGUCAAGUCCGAACCUGCAACUGCAAUGGAUGCAGUGGGUAAGUCGAAAAUCGAGGAGCAUGAACAGAAGGUAAACAGAUACCAAGCUGAACUUGCAGCUCGCAUUAAGGCCAAAUACUUCUCUAAUAAGGCUUUUGACGGAGGAAAAAUCUUUGAAGAAGAAACUAUUGUUGAAGGCGAAACCAUCCGUUCAAGUAGGUGGUCAUGUACAAGUUCGUACGCGAACCCGGUAAAUUUUCUCCGAGAGAAGAGCCAUGAGAGGAGGGAUUCUCCAUCUUCAGCAGCAGAUUCCUCUGCCAAGAACGAUUCUCCAUCUUUGGUAGCUGAAGCUUCACCAAAGAAUAAUGCAGGUGUUUUGGCAACAGCAAACAAUCUAACACCUGGCAAGAGACAGGCAUCCAAGGAGACCUGA
rnacentral:rRNA from 1 species